GGAGAUGUGGCUGAGCGGUUGAAGGCAGCGGUUUCGAAAACCGCCGUGCGGGAAACCGUACCGUGAGUUCAAAUCUCACCAUCUCCGCCA
rnacentral:tRNA from 1 species